UACCAGCCGCCGCGGUAAUACGUAGGGUGCAAGCGUUGUCCGGAAUUACUGGGCGUAAAGAGCUCGUAGGUGGUUUGUCGCGUCGUCUGUGANAUCCCGGGGCUUAACUUCGGGCGUGCAGGCGAUACGGGCAUAACUUGAGUGCUGUAGGGGAGACUGGAAUUCCUGGUGUAGCGGUGAAAUGCGCAGAUAUCAGGAGGAACACCGAUGGCGAACUGCACGUCUCUGGGCACUAACUGACCGCUGAAGAGCUAAAGCAUGGGUAUCGAUAACCGAUUAUAUACCCCCGUAUUCCUUGCCGUCAACGGUGGGCGCUAUGUGUAUGUGGCUUGCCUUUCCGUCUUCUGUGCCGUAGCUAACGCAUUAAGCGCCCCGGCUGGGGAGUACGGCCGCAAGGCUAAAACUCAAAGGAAUUGACGGGGGCCCGCACAAGCGGCGGAGCAUGUGGAUUAAUUCGAUGCAACGCGAAGAACCUUACCUGGGCUUGACAUGUACCGGAUCGGGCUAGAGAUAGUCUUUCCCUUGUGGUCGGUAUACAGGUGGUGCAUGGUUGUCGUCA
rnacentral:rRNA from 1 species